GACUAUACUUUUCUCAGUUUUGUUUUAUAGUCCCCCUGCUGUUAAAAUUUCUUUACUUCUGCAGUCAAAAAUCCACUACCACUCGGAUAAUUAACUCCCCUGAUAACUUUUAAAACAGGCUGUUUCUCUCCCAGAGUGCGCUCUUUUGUUCCUGUGUCCCCGACCCGCGCGCCCUUCUUCCGGCUCCCACUCACAACCUCGGCGCCGCCGGUCCCACAGUCAUGACGGCCUUCCGCGUGGCCCGCGAGGCCUAGUCACCCCAGGGGGGGCCCACGCCCGGCGCCUCUUCCCCCCCACCCCCACGUUAUAGCUCCCUUUCUUUUGCCGGCGCAGCGGCUCUGGGCGCGAGGGCCCUUUACAAAACUUUUAAAGCAGCUUUCUUUCCCAGCGCGGCUCCUCUCCCUCUCUGCCGCGCGCCGCCUCCGCGCUGCCGGUCCCGCGGUCAUAACGGCCUUCCGCGUGGCCCGUGAGGCCUGGUCACCCCAGGGAGGGGGGCCCUUUACAGGACUUUUAAAGCGCCUUUAUUUCCCGGCGCAGAUCCCUCCCCGCCGCGCGCUGCCUCCGCGCGCCGCCUAGGCGCCGCUGGUCCUGCGGUCAUGAGACGGUCUCCCGCGUGGCCCGCGGGGCCUGGUCACCCCAGGGGGGGGCCGCGCCUGGCUCCUCUGCGCCAGGCGUCUCUCCCCCCCUCCACCAUGUUUUAGCUCUGUUUAUUUCGCCGGCGCAGCGGCUCAAGCCCCGGCCCCUCCAUUCAUUGGCUCCGCCCGCGCCUGGCUCCUCUUCCUUUUGUUUCCCACUUUACGCCGUUCUCCCGAAGUUAAAUAAGACCAGACAAACCUAAAAUUCACAUCAAACUGCUUUUAAUUUUAAAAACAGCCUUUUUUUCUUUCUUUCCCUCUCACAUUGCGUUCCAAUUCUGUGGCCUCUCUGGCUUUGGUCUCCAGCCCAGCCCAUUCAUUUCCUGUUUCACCACCCACAUGGCGGCAGCGUCCCUGCGCCAUACGCCACCCGCCGUAGCCGCCCAAAAGCCGUGGCUUUCACAGCGCGCCCAGCUCUGGCGUGGCCGUGAGCCUUUCAAAACAAAGCCCACCUAACUUCACGCUGUGCCUCUCCUGCGGCCACACCCUGCCCCACACACCGGGCUCCUUACAGCAAGCAAGCCAUGCCUCUGACUGCCUCUGCCGCUGCACCGCCCCUACAGGGCGCGGCCACCAUCUCUGCCGCCCGCCUCGGCUGUCGCCCCGCCCCUCCGGGGCACAGCCACCGCCUUGGCCGCCGCGCCGCCCCUCCGGGGACGCGGCCACCCCCUCUGUCGCCCCGCCCCACGCGCGCGGGGCUCCGCGCAGCCAGCAAGCAGUGCCUCUGACUGCCUCUGCCACCGCCCCGCCCCUCCGGGACGCGGCCACAGCUCCCUUUGGCGCCAGGCGCCAACUGGGAUCAGCAAAGCCUUGCCUCUGACUGCCCCUGCCCGCCGCGGCCACCAUCUCUGCUGCCCGCCUCGGCCGUCGCCCCGUCCGUCCGGGGGACCGAACGCGAGCUGCAGCUCCCACUGACGCCAGGCGUUAACUGGGAUCACCAUUCGGGGCCUCCAAGCCCCACCCCCUUACGCGAUCGCAGCGGAACGACGUCAUUUCCCUGCGCCGCUUAGCGCGUCACGAAUUCUGCCUUGCCACCUCAACGUCACCCUGAUAAAAUACCAUCUCAAAACCAAAGUCACCUUCCUAUCUACCUCACCUGGGUCCUUAAAUAUAAUAGUGCCAUGUCUCCUAAUAACAUUAUGUCUCUUUGUUUUUCCAGUCUGACAUACAUACAUUCACCAGUGAAGUUGUCCUGGCUAAAACACCUGGCAUCAGUGUCUACCUGGGCAUCAACCUUCAUCCUGUCAAACUCCCCUAGACCCCAAUACAGCGCCCUCAGCCAGCAGGAAGUAGUUACAGAGAGAGAUCUUCGCCCCUUUUCCUAAUAACCAGAAGACGGGAUAUGAAAGAGUUGCCGGCCCAGAUAAAACACUGUAACCAGAAAAGGCUGCACCUAAACUCCUCCCCCACCCUGCCCCCUAUGGACUUGAUUGUAAUUCUGUAUCCCCAUCCUUAAGGACCUGUGCGCCAAUGAGAUAUCUGUGCAUCUCUAAUGAAGUUAGGGUGCUGCCCUAAGCUUAGGCUAUUUAGAUCUCCCACGCCACGUGUCUGAGAGAGUUCGCCGGGGAGUUUUGCCAGAGGGAGUUCGCCAGAAAGAGAGAGCUUGCCAGACUCCAGCGCGCCAGUCUCCACUCCCCGUGUUCCCAGAGACACCACAGCCCGGCCCCGGGCUCCGUGCAGAGAUGCCCGGGGCCGGCACCGCCGGCGGCGGGGGCCCCCUCCCCGCAUUCCCGGAAUAAAGCCACCGCUGACCACUA